UACCAGCACCCCGAGUGGUCGGGACGAUUAUUGGGCCUAAAGCAUCCGUAGCCGGUUCUGCAAGUCCCCCGUUAAAUCCAGCUGCUCAACAGAUGGGCCGCGGAGGAUACUACAGAGCUAGGAGGCAGGAGAGGCAAGCGGUACUCAGUGGGUAGGGGUAAAAUCCGUUGAUCCAUUGAAGACCACCAGUGGCGAAGGCGGCUUGCCAGAAUGCGCUCGACGGUGAGGGAUGAAAGCUGGGGAGCAAACCGGG
rnacentral:rRNA from 1 species